AACGAACGCUGGCGGCAGGCCUAAUACAUGCAAGUCGAACGGGCGUAGCAAUACGUCAGUGGCGGACGGGUGAGUAACACGUGGGAACAUGCCUUUCGGUUCGGAAUAACGCAGGGAAACUUGUGCUAAUACCGGAUAAGCCCUUACGGGGAAAGAUUUAUCGCCAAGGAUCGGCCCGCGUCUGAUUAGCUUGUUGGUGAGGUAACGGCUCACCAAGGCGACGAUCAGUAGCUGGCUGAGAGGAUGAUCAGCCUCAUUGGGACUGAGACACGGCCCAAACUCCUACGGGAGGCAGCAGUAGGGAAUAUUGGACAAUGGGCGCAAGCCUGAUCCAGCCACGCCGCGUGAGUGAUGAAGGCCUUAGGUUGUAAACCUCUUUCAGCUCCGACGAAGCGAGAGUGACGGUAGGAGCAGAAGAAGCACCGGCCAACUACGUGCCAGCCGCCGCCGUAAC
rnacentral:rRNA from 1 species